UCCUCUUUCCAGCCCCAGAAGGAUUGGGGGGUCAUGCUGGGUACCUGCCAGUGGCUGGAUGUCUUCUGAGGUCGUCCAGAUCACUGCUUCUCUUAUUGGUUGUCGUCAGCAUAUGAUGAGAUGGUUUACAGACGAACUGUGCACACUGUCAAGCAUGAUAUACAUGGAAGAUAUGAGAAGAAAUGAAGAAGCUCAGAGCAGUCAGCUAAGUGACCUGUUUGCUCAACCUUGCCAGGGGUGACAGAAACUUACUCACUGAACACUGAUUACUAAUCAAGGGCUUGAUCGUGUGCAGUCAAUCAUUUAUUGGUUGCUGACUCGCUGCCAGCAGACAGACAGCAGCAUCCUCUGGAGACACAGGAAUGCUGUUGAUGAUGAUGAUGAUGAAGAGGAAGAGGCUGAGAGUAACAGUAACAGCUGCCAGGUAUCG